rnacentral:rRNA from 1 species
GGUCCUACGGGUGGCAGCAGUGGGGAAUUUUGGACAAUGGGGGAAACCCUGAUCCAGCCAUCCCGCGUGUGCGACGAAGGCCUUCGGGUUGUAAAGCACUUUUGGCAGGAAAGAAACGUCGCGGGUUAAUACCCCGCGGAACUGACGGUACCUGCAGAAUAAGCACCGGCUAACUACGUGCCAGCAGCCGCGGUAAUACGUAGGGUGCAAGCGUUAAUCGGAAUUACUGGGCGUAAAGCGUGCGCAGGCGGUUCGGAAAGAAAGAUGUGAAAUCCCAGAGCUUAACUUUGGAACUGCAUUUUUAACUACCGAGCUAGAGUGUGUCAGAGGGAGGUGGAAUUCCGCGUGUAGCAGUGAAAUGCGUAGAUAUGCGGAGGAACACCGAUGGCGAAGGCAGCCUCCUGGGAUAACACUGACGCUCAUGCACGAAAGCGUGGGGAGCAAACAGGAUUAGAUACCCUAGUAGUCG